rnacentral:rRNA from 1 species
UACGUAGGAGACGAUGUCGUUGUCCGGAAUCACUGGGACGUAAAGCGCGUGAUAGGCGGGAUCCGGCCAAGUCUGCUGUGCAAAGCUCCUGGCUUAACCGGGAGUGGUCGGUGGGAAACUGCCAGUCUGGAAGGACGGUAGAGGUAGGUAGAAUUCCCGGUGUAGUGGUGAAAUGCGUAGAGAUCGGGAGGAAUACCUGUGGCGAAGGCGGCCUACUGGGGCCGGACCUGACGCUGAGACGCGAAGGCGUGGGGAGCGAACGGG